rnacentral:rRNA from 1 species
UACGGAGGGUGCGAGCGUUGUCCGGAAUCACUGGGCGUAAAGGGCGCGUAGGCGGCAUGCCAAGCGAGUGGUGAAAGCCCGGGGCUCAACCCCGGGUCGGCCGUGCGGACUGGCGUGCUCGAGCACUGUAGGGGCGGGUGGAAUUCCGGGUGUAGCGGUGGAAUGCGUAGAGAUCCGGAAGAACACCGGUGGCGAAGGCGGCCCGCUGGGCAGGAAGGCUCGCAAGAGCCGGCUGACGCUGAGGCGCGACAGCGUGGGGAGCAAACAGG